rnacentral:tRNA from 1 species
GGACUGUAGCUCAAUGGUAGAGCGCCUGCCUUGCACAUGUGGGGUACUGAGUUCGAUCCUUAGCACCA